ensembl:snoRNA small nucleolar RNA, C/D box 66
CUCUAAUGAUGACUCUAGUUUUGUGCCACGUGUCUGGGCCACUGAACACUCGUGAUGGGUUUGAGGAACUGAAAGAG